rnacentral:lncRNA from 1 species
AAAGUAGAAAUUUGGCGAUGGAUUAUUCCCAUUCACUCACAGCAACUUCAGCUGUUGCAAUCAUUGCUUUUCCACUACUAUUUCUUUUCUCUUUUCUAUUGAUAUCAAGAAGAAACACAAACUCGAAGAAAACAGCACCAGAAGCUGGUGGAGCAUGGCCUAUUAUUGGUCAUCUACGCCUCUUAGGAGGGUCACAACCACCUCACAUAAGCUUGGCUAACAUGGCUGACAAAUAUGGAAGAAUCUUCAGUAUCAAGUUGGGUGUGCAUAGAGCUUUGGUGGUGAGCGAUUGGGAGAUUGCGAAGAAUGUCUCACCGUAAAUGAUAAAGCGUUUGCCUCUCGUCCAAAACUUGCAAGCUCGGAAAUUUUGGGUAACAACAGAGCCAUGUUAGGCUUUGCACCAUAUGGACCUUAUUGGCGUCAAAUACGCAAGGUUGCCACUAUUGAGCUCCUCUCAAAUCACCGACUCGAAUUACUUAAACAUGUAAGGGAAUCCGAGGUGAAGACAUCUCUGCAACAGUUGUACCAGCUGUGGAACAAGAAGAGAAGUGCUAACUCCGAUAAAGUAUUGGUGGAGAUGAAGGGAUGGUUCAAAGAAGUUACUCUGAACGUGAUUAUUAGGAUGAGUGUAGGGAAGCGAGAGGUUCCAAAUCAGUAGGUGAAACUUGAAAUGGAGGAAAUCGAUGGAUGACUUCUUUGUACUAAGUGAAAGUUCUUAAUAUCAGAUGCUUUGCCGUUUCUGAGAUUCCUGGACAUAGGUGGAGACAUCAAGUUCAUGAAGAAGACAGCGAAAGAAUUGGACCAAGUUCUGCAGGGAUGGCUACGAGAGCACAAGCAGAAGAGAGCUGAAAAUAAGGCAAACGGUGAGGAAGAUUUCAUGGGAGUGAUGCUGUCUAUUCUCAGUGAGGCGGAGGAACACCAUGCUGAUACAAUAAACAAAAUCAAUUGUCUAGUACGUGCAUAUCUCUUAACCAAAUAGAUUGUGAUUAAUGGCAAUUUUUUUUGGUCAAGAUUGCUAUUAAUAACAUACAUAAGUUGGAAAUGCCAUUAUUUCAUUGUUGAUCUUUUCAUGGUAUUUGAUGUAACAGGGACUUAUCUUAGGCGCGGAGGAUACCACAUCCAUCACAUUGACAUGGGCCUUAUCUUUGCUACUCAAUAAUCGUGACAAAUUGAGUAAAGUCCAACAAGAACUAGAUGUCCACAUUGGUAAGGAUAGACUACUUCUGACCGAAUCAGACACCAAAAACUUAGUGUACCUUCAAUCCAUCAUUAAAGAAACUCUACGCCUAUAUCCUCCUGGUCCGCUCUCUGUGAUCCAUGAAGCCAUUGAAGACUGCACGGUUAAUGGAUACCAUGUUUCAGCUGGCACUUGGCUUAUUAUGAAUCUUCAUAAGAUUCAUCAUGAUCCACUUAUAUGGGCAAACCCUUUUGAAUUUCAACCUGAAAGAUUUAUAACUACCCACAAAGACAUUGAUGUGAGGGGACAGAAUUUUGAACUAGUUCCAUUUGGAAGUGGUAGAAGAAUGUGCCCCGGAGUUUCAUUUUCACUUCAAGUUUUACAGCUUACGUUGGCUAAUGUGUUGCAUUGGUUUGAGUUUGAAACCCCAUCAGGCAUAGCAGUCGAUAUGCGUGAAGGACUUGGGAUAACGAGUUCUAAAACAACUCCAUUAGAAGUUCAUAUAACUCCUCGCCUUCUUGCUUUUGUUUACAAUUCCACUAACCCCAUUAGAGCUUACCCUGGGUAAUUUGCUGCAUUGGUUCGAGUUUCAAACUCCAUCAAACAAUCCAGUCGAUAUGUCUGAAGCAGUCAAAUUAAUGAGUCCUAAAGCAACUCCAUUAGAAGUUUAUAUAACUCCUCACAUUCCUACUUAUGUUUACCUAUAAUUAUAAUAAAUAAAUUUUUAGUAUUAUUACUAUAUAUAUCUUUUUGCUGAUUUAAUAUAUUUAUUUAUUUUGAAUAAAUAAUUUUAUUCAAAACAUGCAUUAUCAAUAAUCGUGUUGAAAGAACAUUUCAACAUACUAAAGCAUAUGAGAACGAAAGUCGAUUGGAACCUUACCCCUGUAUUGGUGGAUAUCAAUGUACUACUAAAGCAUCAAGUUGGAGUUGUUUAUUGGGCUCUUCUAAGAAAAAAUCACAGAGUUCAUUUCAUAAAGAUAUAAUUUUAGCUAAAUCAUAAAUUUAGAGUUGUUAUGCCUCCGCUGCUUGGAUCUACUCCUCACGAAAGCUCCACCUAUUACUCGGACAUAUCUUUCGGGAACAUUCCUUGACCUAACUGUCAUAUUAAUUUAUGUGAGCUCUACUCAUUAAUCGUCACUAUUCAACCUCACUAUCGUGUUUCAUCUAAAGUGAUUGAAAGCACGUCCAAUCGCCACCCUAUCUAAAUCUAUGGUGACAAACCAUUUGGCCCAUUAUUCCUGACUUGCUAAUAGAGACGUGACAUAUGGCAUCUCGAGAUUGUAGCUAAGGGUUUAAAAUCUCUCAAAUCUAACUAGAAAAAGGAACUCUCUCUUUCUCUCCGCUCCUUUCAUUCCUCCUUCAACAACCUAACCCGAUAUCAACACUAUCUUCGUUUGAACACCUCCUAUGGUGGUUGUCUGCCUUAUACCUAACGGGGUGAAUCGCCUAAUUCCACUGUCAUUUCUGUUUUAUCAAAUCCAAGCAUUAACAAUUGAUAAAGUAAGUGUAGACUCACUCCUAUUCUGAUAUUUCUCUAAUACCAAACUCAAAACCAAAUAUAAAAUGUUAUCUAAACUCAACCAAAUCAACACGAAAACUACUACUAUCAUCCUUACAACUAUUAUGCUAAACGAUAUUCAUGUCAACAAAGAUAUUAUAAAGCUUACCCAAACUAUUAAAUUAGACAAUUUGAAUUAAAAGUUGAUUUGAAAUUAAAUGCUUUUAUCGUAUGUGUCAUUAAACGGAGCUUUCUACAUUAGCAUGUAACUUGUUAGAUGGAGCUUUCUAGCAGGCAGGGGCUUGAGCUUGAUCCCCACUUGGCUAAAGGGUAUAGUACCCUUUUCAAUCCCUUUGAAAAUUGAUUCUUAAAUAUUAUUCUUAAAAUUAGUCCACAAGUUUAUCUUACUCGAAAAAAGAUUAAAUUGUUCAAAAAAAUAAAAGUGUAAGGACUAGUUUUAACAGAUGGUAAACAUAGAAAAUUGCGUUAAAAGAAAUGGAGAAGGGAGGAAAACAGAGAGAGAAGCAAAAGAGAAUGCAAAAAAUAAGGAAAAAAAAAGAAGAAAAAAUAACAUAAAAGAAAAAAUGAAAUUUCUCAAAAUGAAAAAAUAUGGGGACCGAUAAUAGAAAUUAACCUAAAAUUUUUGUUUGUAAUGAUGAUUUAAUGUGCCACAUCAGUUUACCAUUUAUAUCGUUAAUGACAAUCAACGACGCAAUGACUAAAAUGUUACAGUGAGAUAACUUAAGUGACUAAAAUGUAACCUAAAGUAAACAAAAAUGACUAUUUUAGUUGUUUACCCAUAAUAUUACUUAUUUUAAUUACGGAAUGACAUUCAUAUAAUUUUUUAACCAAGUUAGUGACCGAUUGACUCAUACACCAACUUGAUCCGGAGUUUAAUAAUAGUAUAGAUAUACAACUGAUGGAACUAAUAGAGUGUGUAUAAUAAAAUUAAAAUAUAUACAAAUAUCAAAAUAAAAUUUUAGUUGAGUGGUAAAUUAAAUAUUUUAAAUAAUGCAAUUGGUGUGAGUUUGAAUCCCAUAAUAUCCAUAUUUUUAUCUCUUUUUUUACGUAAAAAGAUUAAAAUACCCUCAUAGUUUAAUUAAGAAUUGAUGCCCAACUAAUUCGUGACACAAACUCGACAAAAAAAUUAAAAGUAAUAUAGAUUUAAUUAAUUAUUAUCAAAAUUAACUCAAUAUAAAACAGUUAAAAAUCAGAAAAUAUCCGAAUUUAUAUUUAAAAAAAUAUGAAUAGAAAAAUCUAAGAUAAUUUCAAAAAAAAUUCCCACACAUGUACUUUAAUAUUUCCGAACACUGCCAAGCUUCAAUAGGCUAUGUAUACUAUUGUUUGUCAAAAGUAGAAAACGUGGGUGGAUUUUGCGUGAUCCUUUAAGAUAUGUAAGAGAUUGAGCAAUCUUACAAUUAUAUCAACAUUUAGUUAAAUUACGUGAUUAAUCUCUGUAUUAUGAAUUUAAUUCUUGUAUUUUAAUUUAUUUAAUUUUCAACUUUAAAAUUUUAGUUCUCAUCAAACCAUAAUUAUUACAUUCAUUAAGUUAAAUUUUGCUAUUUUCAAAAUUUAAUGCGAAAAACAUAUUACCAUAUAUGUAAUGCCAUGUCUUAUUAUUUUCAAAUAUUACUCACUAAAAAUUCAGUUAAUGGAUUAAUGACGGUCAUUUACGUCAAGAAUGAAAUUUUAAUUUUUAAAAAGUACAGGGAUUUAGAAUGAUCUAAUUGGAGAAUAUGGACUAAAUUUACAAUCGCACACAUAAUACAAGACUAAUAAUUGAAUUUAAACAAACGGAUUUAACUACUGUUUAUUGGGGUUAAGACUAGAAUUUUAAAAUUAAAAAAAAGUUUAAGAGACUAAAAUUCACCAAUUCAAAAAAUAUAAUGAUCAAAAUUAAUCAAAUUAAAAUGUAUGGGUUAAAUCUGUAAGUUUUACAAAGUAGAGGGACUAAUAACAAAAUUUAACCUUAAUUAAAGAAAUUAUUGUUCCUAGAGUGUGGGGGAAUAUAUAUAAUUGGGUAGACAGCAGGUCACAGUUUUCAUUUUUAGGCACCAAAAAUAAAAAUUUACAACUUUGGCACUCCUAAUUUAUCUUUUCCCUCAUCUCUGCUACUCACAUUCCAUUUCUUAUUUUAAUAUUGAAGUGGGAAUCUGGCGAUGGAUUAUUUCUAUUCACUCACAGCAACUUCAACGGUUGCAAUCGUUGCUUUUCCACUACUACUUUUCUCUUUUCUGUCGAUCUCAAGAAGAAACACAAACUCAAAGAAAACAGCACCAGAAGCAGUCGAUAUGUGUGAACUGUGAAGCACUUGGGAUAUCAAGUUCUAAAGCAACUUCAUUAGAAGUUUAUAUAACGUCUUCUUUUUUAUUUUAUUUUAUGAUUCCAUUAACUAAUUGGUAUUUUAAUUUUAUUAAAAAAUGAAUAGAAUUCAAUAAAUUUCUAAGGUACUAUACUCGUCAUGGAAUAAUACCAUAUGCAACUUUUAGUAUUUUAACUUUCUUGAAAAAAAAAAGUAGAAUUCAAUAAAUUUCAAAUAUUUCAGGGAAAAGUGGUUUGCCCAAGUAAUGUUAGUCAAUUUAAUGGUAAAGACAUGAAUGUCCCUUGCACGAUAUCAAAUCCACUGGACCCUUGAUCAGUCCAAUUCAAGGAGACGUAAAGUAUCGCACUACAUGUCAAAUCAAGACCAGCUCUUAACAACAUUUUGAUUGAUUGUUUUCAGAACAAGAAAAAUGGAAAAGAAUUGAUAAUGGAAAUGGAUUGAUCAUUGAUGUAUGAUGGGUGGGGACGGGGGAAAAGGGUACUUCACUUUACAUAAAAAAGAUCAUGAUCUUUGUUCAUCGCAAACAAAAUAUAGGCAAUAGAUUUAGCUAAUAAUAAAUUACAAUUUCUUAAAACAACUAUAAAUCCAACUCCCUCAACUUAAUUAAUUGGUAUGGAUUCAUUUUAUUCAACCCCAACCCCUUCAACCCUUGUGAUAAUUGUUUUUCCAUUAUUGCUAGUUUUUCUUUUCUUUUUUCUAUGGAUAUCAAAAUCUAACCCUACAAAUACAAACAAUGGGAAACUAGCAACAGAAGCGGGUGGAGCAUGGCCUAUUAUUGGCCAUCUCCGCCUCCUAAGAGGGCCACAACCACAUCACAUAAUGUUUGGGUUUUGACAACAAAACAAAGAGAAAAGAAGCAAAGAAAUGUAUGCAAAACAAAUUUGAACAAGAAGAAACUGAAAAAUGAAUCUGAUUAUCAUUUUAAAUUUUCAUUAAGUAAAAAACAUAUAGGUUACAAAGUUGUUACCUAAUGUGUAACCGCUCCCACUAAUUACUUGAUUAAAGUAAAGCUAAAAUUACACACAAAAUGUAGCUGACAUAUCAGCUAUUGUAUCACAUUGGAAAUCAUUCAAAUCAUCAACUAAUCUUUCUAGCUUUAAAUACAAAUUAGGUAAAAACUAAAGCUAGUUACAUAUAUAUGAACAAAAUGUUGCUGCUGUACUAGUUGAGCUUCAAUGCUUCUCUGCUGUUGCAUUGUAGGCCAAAGUUCAACACUCCUCCUUAGACUGUAUGCAACAAACACCAAUACUUCUUCUUAAGUUCUCAAAUCUUGUAGCACCGAGAGACUUAGUUAGUAUAUCAGCAAAUUGAUUCUCUAAGCUGCAAUGAAUCAAAUUAACUUCAUUUGAUUGUUCAGCCUCUCUAACAAAAUGAAAUUUUAUCUUAAAAUGCUUGGUUUUGACAUGAAAUACUGGAUUUUUGGCUAUGGCAACAGCUGACUGAUUGUCAACUCUAAUAUCAGUAGCUUCAGCUUGAUCUUCAUUCAAAUCACAUAAAAGUUUCCUAAGCCAAAUGGCUUGAUUAACAGCUGCAGCAGCUGCAAUGUACUCUGCUUCUUCUGCAGAUUGAGCAACAAUUUUUUGUUUUUUUGAACUCCAACAAAAGACCUUUGAGCCAAGAGUGAAGAAAUAACUAGAUGUUCUCUUCAUGUCAUCAAUGGAUCUUGCCCAAACACUAUCAGAAUACCCUAUCAACUUGAGUUCUUUUGCAUUCUCAAAUUUCACUCCAUAGCUCAAAAUCCCUUUCACAUAUCUAAGAACCCUUUUACCUGCUUUAAAAUGAACAACAUCACAGCAAUGCAUGAAUCUAGAAAGAAAACUAACAUCAAACAUAAUAUCAGGCCUAGUAGCUGUCAAGUAAAGCAGACAACCUACAAGGCUUCUAUACUUUUUCUCAUCAACUCUUUCAUGGUUGCCAUUGUUGGUUAGUUUCUCACCUUGAGCCACUGGUGUGCUAACUGUUUUACAAUUUGACAUACAAAAUUUGUUUAAGAUCUUCAAGGCAAAGGUCCGCUGACUUAUGAAGAUGGCAUGAUCAAUUUGAAUCACUUCCAUGACAAGAAAGUAAGUCAUUUCACCCAAGUCAGCCAUUUCAAAAACAUCUUGCAUCUGCACUUUGAACUCUUUAAUCAACUCUCUCUUGCUUCCAGUUAUCAACAAGUCUUCUACAUAGAGUGACACAAUCAAUAGGGUUUCAUUCUCUAACCUUAUUGUAUCUAACCUUGCAACAGGGGCAAAGGUUUCUUAGAAUUCAAUGCCAUAUUGUUGGCUAUAUCCCUUCACCACAAGUCUUGCCUUGUGUUUGUUUAGAAACCCAUCAGCAUUGUACUUGACCCUAAACACCCAUUUCACACCAAUAAUUCUCUUCUAUUGACCAGAUGUGUCCUCAAUAACAUAGGAGUUAUUAUUGAAAACAAGUGAAUAGCCUUUCUCUAUUAACUGACCAACACUAAGCAAAUUUUGGUCUAUAUCAAGUACAAAAAGGACAUCUGAAAUUGUUUUGUUACCUGAUUUUAUGUUGAUCACAACAUUGCCUCUUCCUUUGGCCUCAAUAAGGUUUCCAUCUCCAAUCCUAACUUUGGAAACAAAGCUUUUGUCAAGAUCUUUGAAUAACCCUUCAUCUGAUGACAUGUGAUGAGUGCAUCCACUGUCUACUAACCAGUCUCUUCUGACUUUGCUAGAAGUUGCAAAAUAGAAUGUAGUGAAAACAUGCUCCUCCCGAGCUUGAAUGUCCUCAGCAGCCUGAGCUUGAUUCUGUUGCUGAGUUUGUGCCCUUACUUUGUUCUUGCAAACUUUCUCAAUGUGAUCAAACUGCUUGCAGCUCCUACACUGAAUAUCAGGCUUGUGCCAACAGUACCUCUCUAAAUGUGUGGACUUUUUGUAGUGAAUGCAUGGUGGAAAUUUCUUCUUUCCUGCAUCCCUCUUUGGUCUCUCCCUCUUGUCAACAGAUGAUUUCUUUCUUUUGUAGCUCAAACUUAAGCUUUCUUUGACUUUUGCUUGAAAAGCUCUUUUAGGAUGCUCCUCCAGUUUGUUGGCCCUUCUUUGCUCUAAUGUAUACAGAGCAUUUAUCAAUUUAGAUAGUGAAAUGGUUGAUAAGUCUCUUAAGUCCUCCAGUGAGGAGAUUUUUGACUCAAAAUUUUCAGGAAGUGUUGUAAUGACCUUCUCAACAACUCUGCUCUCACUGAAAUCAUCUCCAAAGAGCCUAAUGUUAUUGACUGUGGUCAUUACCCUAUCAAAGUACUGCUUGAUUAUUUCAGACUCUUUCAUUUUCAAGUUCUCAAAGUCCCUCCUGAGGUUGAUCAGCUAUUGACUGGUCUUGUCUGACCCCAAAAACUCUUCCUUCAGCUUCUUUCAGGUUUGCUUUGGAGUGUCACAAGCCAUUAUUCGAGUGAAGAUCACAUCAGGACACUAUUUUGCAAGCAUGCUAUUGCUUUGUGCUUCUUGGCAUACUCUUCACUAUGCUGUCUGAUUUGUGCAAUGGUGGGAUUGGGCCUCAAUGCAGCUGGUUCUAUGUCAUUCUCAACCACAUUCCACAAGUCAUGUGCUUGGAGCUAAGUUUUCAUCUUCACUACCUAAAUGUGGUAGUUCUCACCAGAAAAGACAGAUGGUGGUGGUGGUGGUGUAAAGCUUAUGUUGUAGUAACAACAAAAAUAAUAGCUUCAGUUUCUUUUUCUUCAAGGUUCCUCACAAAACAGCUACCAACAACAAAGGCCCUCAAAGAUGACAGGCCUUGUAUACCAUUUGUAAGGGUUUUGACAGUAAAACAAAGAGAAACGAAGCAAAAAAUGUAUGCAAAAUAAAUUUGAACAAGAAGAAACUGAAAAAUGAAUUUGAUCAUCAUUUCAAAUUUUCAUUAAGUCAAAAACAUAUAGGUUACAAAGUUGUUACCUAAUGUGUAACUGCUCCCACUAAUUACUUGACUAAAGUAAAGCUAAAAUUACACACAAAAUGUAGCUGACAUAUCAACUAUUACAUCACAUUAGAAAUUAUUCAAAUCAUCAACUAAUCUUACUAACUUUAAAUACAAAUUACAUAAAAACUAAAUCUAGUUACAUAUGAACAAAAUGUUACUGCUGUACUGGUUGAGCUUCAAUGCUUCUUUGUUGUUGCAUUGCAGGCCAAAGUUUUACAAAUAAGCUUGGGUAACAUGGUAGAAAAAAAUAUGGAAGAACGUUCACUAUCAAGUUGGGUGUGCAUAGAGCUUUGGUGGUGAGUAGUUGGGAUAUUGCUAAAGAAUGUCUCACCAUAAAUGAUAAAGCAUUUGCCACACGUCCAAAGCUUGCAGCUUAGGAAAUUUUGGGUUAUAACAAUUCCGUGAUCGCCGUUGUGUCGUACGAACCUUUCUGGCGUCAAGUACACAAGUUUGCUACUGUUGUGCUCCUUUCUAAUCACCGGCUUGACUUGAUGUGUAGGAUCACCCCGAUUAAGCAACGAACAAGUAAAAAUAGUAGAAGAAAUUGAGAAGUUGAACACACAAAUUUAACGUGGAAAAACCCCUCCAAAGAGGAUAAAAAACCACGGGCAAAAAUAAUUUUACUAUAAUGGCAAAAGAACGAAGAGUACAAAAGAUGGAGAUAAAAACUAAACCCCAAAAAUCCGAAAACAAAGAACCCUCAAAACGUAAACACAAAAUUCUCUAAAUAUGUUAUGAGUUCUAAUCUAAUGGGUGUGUUUUUCUAAGAUUGUAAAAGAGCCUAUUUAUAGGCUAAAUUAGUAAGUCAAAUAAACUAUAUUGAUAAAUGCUAAAUUUAUUAUACUAAUAAAUACUAAAUCUUCUAGAAAUAAAACAUAUUUUUGUUUAACUUGACUUGCAAGCAAUCUCUUAGAAUUUGGGUCAUACAAUUCUAACAAUCUCCACCAUGACAUGAAUUCUUUCAACGCCAUCUUUGCCAAAACCCGCCACGGGCCUAUCUUGAACUAUGCAGGAAAUUAACUGAGUUGAAUCUAUGCUUAGAAGCUGGAAUACUUUUAGCCUUCGACUUGUGCACUGCCAAAUCAAAACUAACCCGGGUCUGAUUUUUACAAAUACAGUGCCCUAACUUUUCAAAACCUGCAUCCAAAAGAGAACCUCUCUUCAACAAAAUAGUCAUACCUUUUUCCCUCCUACGACCAAGUUGCCUCCGCUCAAAACGAGUUAACUUUGACUCUAUAACGGACGAGGGAUGUCCGAUUUCACCGGUCACUGUAGAACCUUCCAGAAUAUAAAGACUGCCAGUUCUUUUACCUUAUAACAAAACGAGAGCUCCACGAGAUAUUUUAAUGUCGUUAGACUCGAUGUUGAUUCUGCAUUCUUUCAAGUCUAAAAUACUUAAGGAGAUGAGAUUCUUUCGUAAAUCAGGUACAUACCUGACAUCUGAGAGUGUCCUAAUCGUCCCAUCAUGUAUCCUAAUUUUAACAGUACCAAUACCAAUUAUUUUACUAGAUGAAUCAGUUCCCUUGUGCACAACUCCACCUUCAAUUAAACUGUAUGUGGAGAACCAUUCUCUAUUGGGACAUAUAUGGAAAGAACAUCCUGAAUCUAGGAUCCACUCAGACGUAAGCUUGGAGUUAUCGCUCGUUGACACUAACAAGAAAUCAUCACCACCUUCAUCGACCAAAUUAGCAUCAAUUGCACCUUUCUCGUUAUUCUCAACAGCUCUUUUAUUUCGUAGUUUAUAACAAUCUGUUUUGACGUGACCUAACUUUUUACAAUAGCGACACCUUUUGUCUCGUUUCUUUGAUGCUACCAAAAUGGAAUCUUGCCUAUCUACUUUGCUAUUCAAACCAAAAUCAUUGUCGAGUUUGUCUCUACUCGACAAAUGACCCUUCACAUCUUCGAAUGAGAGUUUGUCUAUGCCAUAAAUCAGGGUCUCCCUGAAAGACUUGUAUGAAGAGGGUAAAUAGCACAAUAAUAGCAUAGCUUGAUCUUCAUCAUCAAUAUGAACCUUGACGUUCUUUAAAUCAUUUAAAAGAGUAAUGAAUUGGUUGAUGUGAUCUCUAAGAAGCUCACAUUCGUUCAUGGGAAACGUAAAUAGACGUUGUUUCAACUCUAAAUGGUUAGCCAGAGACUUAGUCGCAUAAAGAGUUUCUAACCUUUUCCACAAGGCGAAUGAGGUCUUCUCCAUCAAUACCAUCUGCAAUACUGUAUUCGCGAGGCACAACUAGAUUGCAGACAAUGCCUUUUCAUCAAGCUCUUCCCAUUUUGUUUGAUUUAGAUUCUCAGGAUUUUCCCUGUAAUAACCUUUUUCAAGACAUUUUGAACUAGAAUUGCCAUUAUCCGAACUUGUCACAGAUUGAAAUUUGUCUCACCAUCGAACUUCUUAAUUUCAAACCUUGUUGCCGUCAUAUCUAAAUGGGCUGAUAUAUGAAAAUUGAACUAUUUCUGAUACCACUUGUUAGAAUCGUCCCGAUUAAGCAACGAACAAGUAAAAAUAGUAGAAGAAAUUGAGAAGUUGAACACACAAAUUUAACGUGGAAAAACCCCUCCAAAGAGGAUAAAAAACCACGGGUAAAGAUAAUUUUACUAUAAUGGCAAAAUAACGAAGAGUACAAAAGAUGAAGAUAAAAACUAAACCCCAAAAACCCAAAAACAAAUAACCCUCAAAACGUAAACACAAAAUUCUCUAAACGUAUCAUGAGUUCUAAUCUAAUAGGUGUGUUUUCCUAAGAUUGUAAAAGAGCCUAUUUAUAGGCUAAAUUAGUAAGUCAAUUAAACUAUACUAAUAAAUGCUAAAUAUAUUAUACUCAUAAAUACUAAAUCUUCUAGAAAGAAAGUAUUUUUUUGUUUAACUUGACUUGAACUUGACUUGCAAGCAAUCUCUUAGAAUAUGGGUCACGCAAUUCUAACAUGAUGAAACAUGUACGGGAAUAUGAGAUAAAGACAUCUAUGUAAAAGUUAUAUCAGCUAUAGAACACUGAGAAAAGUAGUAAGAGUGAAAAAAUAUUGGUGGAUAUGAAGAGAAGGUUCAAAGGUGUUACUCUUAACAUGAUUUUAAGAGUUAUUUUAGGGAAGCGAAUACCGAAUUCAUACGAAAGAGGUGAAACCCUAAAAUGGAAUAAGUCAAUGGAUAACUUUUUUGAGCUAGGUGGGAAGUUUGUAUUAUCAGAUACACUGCCGUUUUUGAGAUGGUUAGACAUUGGUGGAGAGGAGAAGCUCAUGAAGAAGACGAGAAAAGAAUUAGACUAGGUUGUCGAGGGAUGGCUACGAGAGCACAAGGAAAAGAGAGCUGAAAAUGAUGUGAAUAGUGAUGAAGAUUUCAUGAGAGUAAUGUUGUCUAUUCUAUGUGAUAUGGAAAAGCAUGAUUUUGAUAUAAUCAACAAAGCCACAAGUCUUGUAUGGGCAAAUCUCCUUACCGCAAUCUUCAUUAGAACUAUGUUCAAAUUACACUUUUAAUGCCAUAAGGAAGUUAUGAUGUUGAAUAUUAAUUGUUGGUUUCAGGCUCUUAUCUUAGCGGCAGAAGAUAUCUCAUCAAUCACACUAAUGUGGGCUUUGUCUUUGUUACUUUAUAAUAGUGGUGCAACGAGAAAAGUACAACAUGAGCUAAAACAAUAGGAGCUAAACAUUCAUAUUGGUAAACAUAGAUUGUUAGUCAUAGAAUCAGACACCAAAAACUUAGUCUACCUUCUAUCAAUCAUUAAAAAAACAUUACGCUUAUAUCCUGCUAUUCUACUUUCGGGUAUCCAUAAAGCCAUUGAAGAUUGUACGAUUAAUGGUUUUUUUGUUUCAGCUGGUACUUAGCUUAUUUUCAAUCUUCAAAAGAUUCAUCGUCAUCCACUUGUAUGGGAAAACUCUUUGAAUUUUCCACUCGAAAGAUUUAUGACUACCCAUAGAAACAUUGAUGUGAAGGGACAAAAUUUUGAACUAAUUCCAUUUGGUAGUGGUAAAAGAAUGUGCCUUGGAAUUUCAUUUGCACUCCAAGUUUUAGAGCUUAUGCUAGGUAAUUUGCUACAUUAGUUUGAGUUUGGAACUCCAUCAAACGAUCCAGUCAAUAUGUCUGAAGCAGCCAGUUUGUCGAGUCCUAAAGCAACUCUAUUAGAAGUUCAUAUAACUCAUCGUAUUCCUACUUAUGUUUACCAAUAAUUAUCAUAAUUAAUUUUUUAGUAUUAUUACUAUUUAUAUAUUUUUUGUGGAUAUCAAAAUUGUUAGUAUAUUGAUUAUUUAUCGAACUAUUAUUAUAUAAACAAUCAAAAAUAAAUAUUUGGGCUGCUUGGUGCUAUUGGUGCAAUUGAAUUUGCUCAUUUAAUAUUUUUAUUUAAUUAUUUUUUUAUGAAUAAAUAAUUUUAUUCAAAAUAUGCAUUUCAAUAGUUAUGUUGAAAGAAUAUCAACGUACCAAAGCAUCUUAGAACGAAUGCCAAUUGAAACCUUAUCCCUGUAUUGGUGGAUAUCAACGUACUACUAAAGAAUUAAGUUGGAGCUGUUUACUAGGUACUUCUAAGAAAAUUUGAGAGAGUUCAUUUCAUAAAGAUACAAUUUUAGUUAAAUGAUAAAUUUAAAGUUGUUAUGCAUUCACUACACCAAAACAGGUUUUUAGCGGCGUUUUUUAGGCCUUUAGCGGCGCUUUUUAACGCCACUAAAGAUAUUUGCGGCGCUUCUUCAAGCGCCGGAAAAAAUGCCGCUAACGAAAACGUCGCAAAUGUUUGCAGCGUUUACAAACAAAAACGCCGUUAAAGACCAUGUUCUUUAGCGGCGCUUAGAAAAAAACGCCGCUAAAGAUCAUGUUCUUUAGCGGCGCUUAGAAAAAAACGCCGCUAAAGAACAUGUUCUUUAGCGGCGUUUGUAAAAAAAUGCAACUAAAGACCAUGUUCUUUAGCGGCGCUUAGGAAAAAACGCCGCUAAAGAACAUGUUCUUUAGCGGCGCUUAAGGGAAAACGCCGCUAAAGAUCAUGUUCUUUAGCGGCGUUUUUUUUCUAAUCGCCGCUAAAGAACAUGUUCUUUAGUGGCGCUUUUAUACAAAAACGCCACUAUUUUGGGGAUUUUUUUAUAUUAAAAUUUUCAUUUUUUCUGCCCUCCUGUAGCAAAAAUUCAAAAGCAACAUUUCAAAAGCAACCAAUAGCAAUAAAUUUAUAUAAUAUUUCAACAUAAGGGAAUAAAAUAAUAUUAAUAUCAAUAAAUAAAAGUGAAUUCAUAUUGUUUUUGCAAAAAAUGUUAAAUGUUAAAUGUUAAAAUGAUAAAAAUAUUUAUGUCAUACACUAUGAAGGUGGAAGUUGCGACUUAAACAUCUUCAUCAUAAUCUGAAGCUGCUGCUGAAGUUCGUCGUACUUUUUGCUCUACUCUGCUUCUCUUGCUGCAGCCUCCGCUUCCCUCACUGCAGUCGCUGCUUCCCUCGCUUCCGCCUCUGCUUUAAGUUGUAGCUGGAGUUCUUCAUAUUUCCUUUGAACCUCAAUUGUAGUCGCUUGCAUCUGAGCCAUUUGGUCUUUUAACCUCUGAACUUCAGCUUGAGCCUGACUCCCCGAAGCCAUGUAUUGGUGGGAGCUGGAUCCAAAAUAUUGGGUUGGGCUAACAAAAGAUCCUUGAAAUCGAACCCGACCAUACCUUUCAGGACCCAAAACUUCAGUAAUAAUCCGAUUAUCAAUAUCUUCAAGAUGAACCUAACUAUCACUAGAAGCAAUUGCUUCGUACUCCGCCUUUUUAUCAUUUAGUUUUUCCUAAUAAAUAUAUCACAUAGUUAGGAACACAAUAUUAUAUAUUGAAAAACAUAUGCAACAUAACAAUAGUCGCAUUAACUGCAAUGAAUUAAACCAUUAGAAAAUAAACACUAUAAAUAACUAAAAUAAGUCAAAUCGUAUUAAGUAAACGUACCAUUAUUUCAGCAGCUUCAGGAGUCAUGGGAGAUCCAUCUUUCUUCCUAUGUGUAAUUUCAAAAAGUUGAAGGCGUCCAACUUUUUGACCGGACGACCGUUCCUACAAUAUAGUAGUAUAAAUAUUAUUUAAUAGAAAGUUAUACAUAUUCGACAAUAUUAAAAAAUUUAAAAAUACCUCCGCCUCAGCUACACAUGCGAAACUUCUCGACCCGGCUGUGUGGGUGAAUUUUUGUUUCUGCCUGCUGCUUAUUUCAACUUGUUCACGAUCCUACGUUAUGAAAUUUUUUAGUACGUAAAUAGAAAAUACUAUAAACCAAAAUAAUUACAAUAGUUUAGAAGGACGUCAGACCUCGCCUUUAUUCGAAUGCCAAAAUCUAACCGCAUCUUCCCAUUGGUACCUCAACAUACCCGGCGGGACAUUUUGCAAUUUCUUAUCGAGGGUUGUUUUUGUCUUAUAAUAAUUUUUCUUCAAAGUACUUUUGUUGUCUCUCCAUCUUUUUCCCAAUGCCUUCUUUACAUAAGCAUCCGAGACCUCUAAAGCAAACCUCGCCUGCAAAAAACAAAAAACACAAGUUAAUAAAAUAAAUAUAAAUGAAACUAUUUCCCAAGCAUUAUAGAUGACAUUAACAUUUUGUUACCUUAAUAUUAUCGAGGGCUUGGUUUUUGUUGCUAUCGGGCAUUUGAUGCCAUGACUCGUAGUUUAUAGGUAACAUAUUCGGAUUUCGUGCUAAAAUGCCCAUGUAUCCAGCUAAAAGUCGAGCUUCUGAUCCAACAGGCUGACCAAAACUGUUUCGUCCAACUUUGACACGCUCGACUGAAUCUAACUCGUACAACUCUCUAAGUAGCGUACGUCCUCGACCUCUGCGCGUCCCACCAUUUUCAGCUACAAAUGGUAUAUUAUAAUAUAAGAAUUUGAAAAAUAAAUCAACUAUAACAGAAACACGCAUGUAAAUUAAAUGAAAAAUUACUUUGAACUUCUGUAGGAUCCUCAGCUGUAAUCGGAACAUUUGAAGAUCCAACUGCUGUCUGUUGUUCAGUACUAUUAGUUUCUGUCGAGUUUGGAUUAUUUUGAACAAUGCUUCCCCUUAGAAUUUUUCUUCUAGGCAUUUUAUCUACAAUACACAUAAAAUAGUUAAUAACUUAAUAGCUAAUUACAACAAUAACAGCACAUAUAAAACAGUUGAAACAUAUAAUAAGACGAAGAUUUAAAUUAUGAUAUUAUAUAUAAUUAAACAAUCGUAAAAUCUUACUACAUCAUUAUUCGUAAAUAUCUUCAUCGGUAUCCUGACGAACCCAUCCAAAUUGUGCACUAGUACUAGGGAUAUUAUCGUUUAAGUUUAGUUCUGGAAAGGGUAAAGUUACUGAUCUAUCUUCGAUGUUAUCUCUACUUCCACUGCCCAUAUCAAACAAGUCUCUAGGGAUGUUACGGAGUACAACGUACCAACCCUCAUCAGUUGGAUCUUUUGAGUAAAAAACUUGUUUGACUUGAGAUGAGAAUACAUACGGCUCAUCUAUCAGUUGUUGUCCUGUGUGAAUCAAUCGGUCAAAGUUCACCAUUGUAAAACCAAAUUGAUCUUGCUUAAUUCCACGAGCUGUAUUAACAUCGGCCCAAUCACCACGAAAUAAGACAACUUUCCAUUUGCCGUAGUAAUCCAACUCAAUUAUGUCAGUAAGUUGUCCGAAAUAUUCCACAUUUCCCUCGACAGGAUUAUUGUCCCUAGCACUAGCAUAACUCGUAAUUGCAGAAUUGACAACAAUUCCACAAUUUUGCGUUCUCCUCAACCUCUCGCGAUAUUUUGUAUGAAAUCUGAAUCCGUUGAUGAGGAACGCACUAUAUCUUUUAACCACUCGAUUUGGACCUUGGGAGAGCCAUUUAACAUCGUCGUCCGAAAUAAUUAAUGUUAUCUUCAAUACUCAAUUUUGAAUCAUAUAUGAAGUUUUAAAAUUAACUAUAAAGAUUCAUAAAACAAUUAUAUGGGGCGGGUGACAGUUUAUGAACAAUCUUUUAAGUGAGAUUAUUCAGCCGUCCAUCAAUGAACUUAGUCACUCCCUUUAUCCAACUUUUAACCAAAGGAACAUGUACAUGUUAAACUUCUUUAAUUGUAGGCUUCUUUUAGUUAUAAUCGACAUCAGAUUCAGUCGUUUUGAGGCUCUUCCAAGUUGGUUCAUUCCUAGGCUUUUAACAAAAUCUAACUUUUUGAAACCCCAUAUUGUACAUGAUUCAUCAUUUUCUUCAUCCCUUGCCAACAUUGUUUCCAAAAGAAAACAAACCAGAAAAAGCAAAAUCUGCUAAAGAACAGAACAAUAUCAGGUUGUUUAAUGUAUUAAAGGCAAACUAGAUUCCCCAAUUUGGUAAGAAAGGCAUAUAUUCUCGAUAACACAAUAACCAAGACUACAUAUAUACUGACAUAUAAAACAGUUUUGCUUAUUGUCCUAGUUGCCACAUAUGUUUAAAAGGAACCCAGAUUAAACUCUAGAAUCCACAGCCAUAAAGAUGAUAAUACAUUAGUUACCCAUUAGUUACCCACUAGUUACCCAUAGUUUGAGAUAUUCAAAUUUAGUUACCCAUUAGUUACCCAAAUACUACCAUUAGUUACCCUUUUAUGCUUCUCCAAAAAUCGCUGUAAUGGAGAAACAGCAGGCUAAGUUGUGCAAAACAUAACUCAAACCAACUAAAGGAGCAUUUGUCAUUGGCGAAAGCACUUUUUUUAUAGCUUCAACAAAUCAUAUCCGACUUUCCCAAAAUCGGAAGGUCUGUCCCUGUCUUCAAUCUUAACAAUUUCAUUUUCAUGGCCACGCCAUUGAUGCUCCUAGUUUUAUUAUUGGCUGUGUUUUGUAUUCGGGCAACCCCUAAAUAGACAAAAUUUUACCCCGAACAAACCCUUCUAUUUAAAUUGCUAAAUAAACAAUUCACAAGUUCCCCAAAUUCCCAAACAAGAAUGGUGUUUUAACCUAAACCGCAAACCCUAAAAUUUAAUUUUUUUUCUAAGCCCCAAAUUCGAAAAACACAAUGCACCCAAAACCCCAAAUCAAGACGAUGUUCUUCAGAAGGAUUAAACGCAUACCUUUUAACCAGAUAUUCUGCAACUACUGUCAAGAAUGGCGCAAUCGUUGCUUCCUCUUUGAUGAUUUCUGAUUUCUCCUCCCCUUUCUUCCUUAGAAUAUUUUCUUAGGUUUUUUCCCCUUCCCAAUCGGCGUUUUCACUUGCAGAAUAUUUUCUUUCUGUCUUUGUCGACGAGUGAGUAAAAAUGCUAAGUUAAAAGCCAUCUGCAGAAACGGCAUCGUUGAGAAAAAAUUUUAAAACACCUUUGCGGCGUUUAUAGACCAAACGCCACAAAAAAUUAAACCUUUUAACAGAAACGGCGCCGUUUUCUUAGUCUGAAAUUGCAUUUUUUGUGGCGUUUAAUAAAAACCGCCACGUAUACUUAAGCCAAACGUUGACGUUUUCAAUAAAUUAUUCUAAAAUUUUUCCAAGUUAAAAAUCUGUUCCGGAAACGACGUCGUUUAGCGAUUAUAUUAACACCGUUUUGUGGCGUUUUUGGUAAAAACGCCACUAAAUAUUACAGCUGUGAACAGAAACAACACCGUUUUCGUGGUCUGGAAUUGCAUUUUUUGUGGCGUUUUUAGAAAAACGCCACUAAAUAUUACAGCUGUGAACAGAAACGACACCGUUUUCGUGGUCUGGAAUUGCAUUAUUUGUGGCAUUUUCUUAAAAACGCCACUAAAAGUUUAACUAUUCAUUCGAAAACGGCGCCGUUUUGAAUUUUUUUAUUUUUUUAUUUCAUUUCUUAUGUAUUUGGUCAUAUAUAUAUAUAUCCAAAAUAAAUAAUUAUACCUAAAUAUAUAACCAUCCAUAUAAUAUAUAUCAAUAUAUUUUUUAACUUAUUUAUGAAUUCUAUUUAAAAUAAUUUUUAAAUAUAUCAAUUGGUACUUUAGAUUGAUUUUUUAAAAUAUUAUUUAAAUAAAUUAAUCUAAACUAACCUAAAAUCCUUAUUUGACCCCUAAACCCUAAAUCUUUAACCCCUAGAUUGCAACUUGUAACCCCUAAACCCCUAGCUAACUCUUACAUCCCAAACCCUAAAUCUGUACCCCCUAAUCCUUAAAAUAGCACGACCUCUUUUACGACCUCUUUUACAGUUAUAUAUAUAAGAACAUAUUUAAAAUAUAAUUUGUCAAUACUAAUUAAUCUAAACCCUAGCUAAACCCUAAAUCCUUAAUCAACUCCUAAUAACCCCUAAACAUUAUAUCUCAGCCCUUACACCAUAUCCCUAAAUCCAAUAUUAUAUAUAUACUCUUGAUCAAUUAUAAUAAUAACCUUAAAAUAGUAACCCCUAAACCGACUUAAAAUCUUAAAUUAAUAAUAUCAUAUAUAUACCCUUAAAACCUAAAACCCUAUAUUAACUAUAGUGAUACGCUUAAUUAAAUAUUUUAAAUUUAAAUUAAUACUUACUAUCUCUUUUAAUUACGAUAAUAAUUUCAAAUUUUUAAUAUAUAAAUUAAAACUUUAAAUAAUACUUUAAAAUUUAAAUUAUUUUAAAUAAUACUAUUUUAAUUUUUCCAUGUGUUUUAUUUCAAAUUAUUUAUACCUGUUAUUUUUUAUUGAAGAUUUUAAAUAUUCUAUUAGAAAUAUGUUUAAUUUGAUUCAAAUAAUAUAAAUAAUAGUUCAAUUAAGAUAAUUUUUUUUGCGGCGCAUAAACAAAAACGCCUCUAAAACACCUAGAUUAGCGGCGCUUUACAAAAACGCCACUAAUGCCCCCCCAAAGGACACAAAACGGCACCGUCUGGGAGUAUUAUUUGCGACAUUUUUUAUAAGCGCUGCUAAUGUUCACUCUUUAGCGGCGCUUUACAAUAAACGCCACUAAGUCCCCCCCAAAGGCCACAAAACGGCACCGUCUGGGUGUAUUAUUUGCGGCGUUAUCUAUAAACGCCACUAAUGCUCACUCUUUAGCGGCGCUUCGCAAUAAACGCCACUAAGUCCCCCCCAAAGGCCACAAAACGGCACCGUCUGGGUGUAUUAUUUGCGGCGUUAUUUAUAAACGCCGCUAAUGCUCACUCUUUAGCGGCGCUUUACAAUAAAUGCCACUAAGUCCCCCCAAAGGCCACAAAACGGCACCGUCUGGGUGUAUUAUUUGCGGCGUAAUCUAUAAACGCCACUAAUGCUCACUCUUUAGCGGCGCUUUACAAUAAACGCCACUAAGUCCCCCCCAAAGGCCACAAAACGGCACCGUCUGGGUGUAUUAUUUGCGGCGUUAUCUAUAAACGCCACUAAUGCUCACUCUUUAGCGGCGCUUUUCCUUAAACGCCACUAAUGCUCACUCUUUAGCGGCGCUUUUAAUUAAACGCCGCUAUUGCUCACUCUUUAGCGGCGCUUUUGCUCCAAACGCCGCUAAAAGUGCCGCUAAAAGCUUGUUUUGGUGUAGUGAUUCACCACUUCUCGAUCUACUCCUUACGAAAGCUCUACCUAUUAGUUGAACAUAUCUUUCGGGAACAUUCCUCGACCUAGUAAUCAUAUUAAUUUAUGUGAAUUCCACUCAUUAAUUGUCACUACUCAUUCUAAGAAGAUAGCGAAAGAAUUGGACCAAGUUGUGCAGGGAUGGUUACGAGAGCACAAACAGAAGAGAGUUGAAAAUAAGGCAAAUGGUGCGGAAGAUUUCAUGGGAGUAAUGUUGUCUAUUCUUAGUGAUGAUGAGGAACACCAUGCUGAUACAAUCAACAAAACCACGUGUCUCGUACGUGCGUCUCUUAACCAUUUUGGUCAAGAUUGCUAUUACUAACAUACGUAAGUUGGAAAUGUUAUUAUUUUAUUGUUGAUCUUUUUAUGGUAUAUGAUCUAACAUGACAUUGUCUUAGGUGCAGAGGAUACUACAUCGAUCACAUUGAAAUGGACCUUAUCUCUACUACUUAGUAAUCGUGACAAAUUGAGUAAAGUCCAACAAGAGCUAGAUGUCCACGUUGGUAAGGAUAGACUACUAGUGACUGAAUUAGACACAAAAAACUUAGUCUACCUUUAAUCCAUCAUUAAGGAAACUUUAUGUCUCUACCCUUCUAUUCCGCUCCCCCUAAUCUAUGAAGCCAUUGAAGACUGCACGGUUAAUGGAUACCAUGUUUCAACUGGUACUUGGCUUAUUAUGAAUCUUCAUAAGAUUCAUCAUGAUCCACUUAUAUAGACAAACUCUUUUUAAUUUCAACUUGAAAGAUUUAUGAAUACCCACAAAGACAUUGGUAUAAGGGGACAAAAUUUUGAACUUGUUCCAUUUGGAAGUGGUAGAAGAAUAUGCCCUAGAGUUUCAUUUACACUUCAGAUUUUGUCAUUUACACUAGCUAAUGUGUUGCAUUGGUUUGAGCUUAAGACUCCAUCAAACAAAGCUGUCGAUAUGCGUAAAGCACUUGGGAUAUCGAGUUCUAAAGCAACUUCAUUAGAAGUUUAUAUAACCCCUCGUCUUCUUUUUUUUUUAAUUUAUGAUUCCAUUAACUAAUUGGCAUUCUAAUUUUAUUAUAAAAAGAGUAGAAUUCAAUCAAUUUCUAAGGUUACUUGUCAUGUAAUAAUACCAUAUGCAACUUUUGGUAUAACAACCUAAUUUUCAGUGGUGUCAGAAAUAGUGAUUCAAGAUCACUAAAUCUGACUAGUGAGUUUUAAAAUUUAAUGAAUAAAUACAUAUGAGUCAAGUGUGAUUAUAGAAGAAUUUUGGAUUAGUAAAUUUUGUGAUUUAAAAACAAAUUAAUAAGUAAAUUUGGUCUAAAAUGAGGUAUCAAAACCUCGAACUCAUAAAUCGAGCCAUAAAUAUUUUUAGAAAUAUUUAUAGAGUGUUACUGAGUUGGUGUUAAAGUUUUGUUAGAAAAUUCUAACGUUUGGAUGGUCAAUUAAUUAAAAAGAACUAAAUUGAGAAUAGUGAAAAAUUUGUUAAAUUAUGAUUAAAUAGCUUAAGUGACUAAUAGGGAGGGAUUUAAAAGGCAAUUAGGCCCAAAUUAUAUGGGCUGGAUGGUUUGGGCAAGAAAAUCAGGAAGAAAAUAAGGAGAAACAAGGGAAAAAUUAGAAAUUUUGCAAAUUAAACAUAUAAAACAAAGACAAAAUUGAAAAAUCUAGAGAUUUCUUCAUAAUUCAUCAGCAAAAAUGCCAUAGGAGGUCUGAAACAGUCUGUUUUCUCAUAUUUUUAUACCAUGUGAGUUCAAUUCUUGCUUUUUCUUUGAAUUUUUUUAUGUUUUGUGACUUUUACAACUAGGUCCAACUAUUUAAUUCAUUAGUUUUUGAUUCCAUGGGUGAUUUUGUAAGUUACCAUGAAUAAGUGCUGGAAUUUUAUGAUUAAUUAUAAUAUAUUUGAAGCUUUAAUUUCAUUAUAUUUUGAUUUUAUUAAGUGAUUUUAGUAGAAAAUGAUUUUUAUGACCUAAUUGUGAAAAACCUAGGAAUUGGGGUGUUGUAUUGAAAUUAUGAAUAUCAAAGGCUGUAAUAUAGCCUAAAAUUAUUAGAUAAAGUGUUAUUUGAGGAAAAAAUUGUUCAAUUGAAAUGUUAAUUGAGUAGAGACUAAAUUGUAAAAAUUAUAAAUUUUGGAGUAAAAGUGUAAUUUCAAAAAUUAAAGGGCAUAAAUUGCGAAGUGAAUUAGUAUUGAAUUAUAUGCUAAUGAAUGGAAAAAUUUAUAUUAUAGAUCGAGAAUCUGAAGAUAAACAAGGAAAAGAAAAAGUCGUUGAUUAGUCCCUGAAAUAUUACAAUUCCUACAAAUUGGCCUAGGUAAGUUCGUACGGCUGAACGUUUAUGAUUAAUUGUUAAUGUGGUAAUGACAUAAUAUAUUAAUUCGUGUAUUGUUGUUGAAUUAUUAUUGUAAAAAUGUGAAAAUCAAAUUGUAAGUUCAAAUUAAGGGAUACGCAGGAUUGAGUAUGUACGUUUAGUAACCAGCGAUGAAUUAGCGAAUAAGUCCAUGGUGGAUCCAUGGAAAAGUGUGGAAUGUAGGUGUGGUAUUUCAGUAAAGUAAACCAUAUUGAGUUGUGAAAUGUAGGUAUGGUAUUUCAGUUAAGAUAACCGUACUGAGUCGAGAAAAGUAGGUAUGGUAUUUCAGUGAAGAAAGCCAUACUGAGUUAUAGCAUUGUAAAAGAUUCAAGCGAAUCGUGGCAUCGGGCAAAUGAUGUACUCAAAUCCGUAAGGCAAUCCUUAAUUAGACAAGUAUUUGUAAGUGCAAUUGAAGCUAAAUGUUGGAAUAUAAGUUUAUAUCUGAUAUUGAGCUCGAUUGAGUAAAUUCAUUGUUUGAGAUUGCGGUUGGCAGGAAAUGUUGUAUUAUACUUGUUUAUUAUAACUGGUAGUGAAAUUUUGGUAAGAUUUUAUUAUGAGCCUAUGAACUUACUAAGCUUUCUGUAAACUUACUUGUGUGUGUUUAUUAUUUCUUGUAGAUUGAUGUAUAUAUAUGUUCGGAGGAUCGGAUCUACAUCAAGGAUCACACUAUCCAGAUUUACUCCGGUAGAUUUUGUAAAACAACUUUUUGAUUUAUAUGGCAUGUGAAGGGGUUGAAGUAAUAAAAUAAUAGUAUGAAUGAUUAAGUAUGCAAAGUAAAUCUGAAUGUGAUGGUUGUGUUAGAUAUUGAAAUAUACAUGUUUUAGCUUGAAAUGGUUGAUAGGUUGGACUUUAUUAGUAUAUAAAUGUGUUUUUGUGCAAGAGGAUAGUAUGAGGGUGAGAAAAGUGGACUUAAAUGGUCCGAUUUUGUGUGUUUGAUUGUGUUUAAGUCCGAUAAUGCCUCGUACCCUGUUUCGGCAUCGGACACGGGUAAGGGGUGUUAAAUUUGGUAUUUUAACUUUCUUUAAAAAAAAAAGGUAAAAUUCAAUAAAUUUCAAAUAUUUCAUUCUUCUGAUUAAAUUUUAUCAUUGUUUCAUGGAAACUAAUUCUUUUAAAGUUCGUGAUAGCCAUUCCAAUAAUAUUCUCUCAAAAAUUUAAACUUAAAAUUUUCAUUUGGAAGUGUAUUAUGUUUUAUCAGGUUUUCUUUUUUGGUCCUUUAUUGCUGAGUUUAAUAGAGUAUUGAUUGCUUUAGUCUCGAAUAUUGAUCGACCACAGUGCCCUUUUCAAUUUCGGUCAAUUAAUUUGUGCAACAUUCUAAAUUAUUGUGAGUCAUAUUAGAUCGUUCUUGAAUAAUUGGAUUUUUUGAUCUAGUGUAUCUUUACAUAAUGUAAAAAUGGUAAAUGCAUAAUAAAAACUUUUAAUGAAUGGUCAAAACAAACAAAAGAGAAGUAGAUUGCACGAACUGCAAUAUGCUAUAAAUGUAUGUUUUUGUGAUGGCAACAUAAGAUUAAUUUAAUUUAUUUGUAUUAUUGAUGAGACAUAUAAUUAUUGAUGAGAAAUAUAACUAUCUGUGAUGCAUUGUUUAGGCAAUAAAUAGGUUGCAUUGUGGUACAUAUGUGGUAUGCAUUUUGAUUGCUUUUGUAGGAGUGUUUAUUGAUAUUUUACUUUGUAUUUUUAUAUUUUUGUGGUACGGAUUUUAUUGGAGAAUAAUCAUUGUUGGAAGUGAGAUUGUUUGAAGUGAAUGAUUGUAAUAUUAAGAGUAUCUUAUUAGGACUGCAAUUAUCCAUUGUAUAAUAGUAAGCUUGGACUUUAGCAAUAGGGUUUUAAAUCCAUUUUUAAAUAAAAACAUUUACUGAUUAAGGUUUUGCAGAGAUAAAUCCAAACUGUGUUAACAAACAUCACGAUUUGGGCGUUUGAUUAAUAAUGGUAAAGAAAAUUAAUUAGUUAUAUGUUUGAAGACAUUUGACUUCAGUUUGAGUUGAUUGAAAGUGUAGGUAUCUUCUUGGAAGCGUAUUAUCAUUGGGACUCUUUCUAAACCUCAUAACAUCAACUUAUGAUAUCAACUUGAUCAAAAAUUUAAAUAAUAUAAAUUUGAUUAAUAAUAAUCAAAAUUAACUCAAUAAAAACCAAGAAAAUAUCCGAAAAAUCCAAGAUAAUUUCAAGAAAAAUCCCACGCAUGUGGAUACGAUGUUUUAAAGUCCCAAAACUGAAAAUUUUGGGCACUGAAAAUAAAAAAUUUGCAACUUAUGGUCACUCAUUUUAUCUUUUUAAUUUCUUUUAAUUUUUUAUUUUUUAAGGAUCAAUUUUAAUUUUUUUUUCAGUAAAGGAGAAAAACUGAAAAUUUAGAGGAAAAUUCAGGUUAGAAUUUCCUUUAUUUUUUCUUUUUAGAAUUAAUUUCAGUUUUUUUCCUCAAUAAAAUGGAAGGGAAAAGCCUAAGAUUUUAUAGGGAAUUACCUAGGUUUAAUAGAAAAAGAUACUUUAGUUUUUACUGGAAAAACUAAUUUAUCUUUUUUAUUUUUUUAGAAUUAAUUUUAUUUUAUUUUCCAAUAAAAGGGAAACACCUAGAGCUUUAUAGGAAAUUAUUUGAGUUCUUAUUAAAGUUGGGCGACUAAAAAUGAGUAUGUUUAAUGGAAAAUUAAUGGUGGGUGACUAAAAUGAUAUAAAAGUAUGUAACGACAGUACCUAAAUUGCAAACUUUUAAAUUUUGGUGCCCAAAAUGAAUACUUAUAAAAGUUGAGUGACUAACUGAGUAUAUUUAAUGACAAAUUAACAGUGGGUGACUAAAAUGAUAAAAAAAGUAUGUAACGAUAGUGACUAAAAUGAUAAAAGUAUAUAACGACAGUACUUAAAUUGUAAACUUUCAAAUUUGGUGCCCAAAAAGAAUACCUAUAAAAGUGAGUGACCAACUGUGUGGUUUACCCUUUUCUUUAUUUUGCAUAUCUAUUUUAUUGUCUUUAUUUGGGAUUUGUAAUUGUUUUUUAAUAAUAUUCGUCUUGAAGGUUUAAACUCGUGUUUUCUUUCUUAAUAGUAUAACGUAUCUUACUACUACACCUAAUACUUGUUAGUGGUGAAAUGAAAAAAUAAAUAUGAAAAUUAUAUAUAUUUUUAAAUCAAUCCAUCAAAUAUAAACUUUAUUAUAAGAUAAACAUAAAAUGAUUUAUUUUAAAUAAUUUAUUGUAUACUAACAAAAUUUACUUGUACCACAUCAUUUGCAAUUUUAAACUUAAAAGCUUAAAAAAAAACACAAACACACACCAAAAAAAAAAAAAAAACAGAACACUUGUUUGAAUGCAAUUGGAUGAAGAAGUUGACAAUGUACGAGCUGCUAUGACAUGCACAUUCCUUGUCCAACAACUCAAACUCCCUUAUCUCUGCUACUCACCUUCCAUUUCAUAUCUUAAUCUUAAAGUGGGAAUCUGGCGAUGGAUUAUCUCCAUUCACUCACAGCAACUUCAACUGCUGCAAUCAUUGCUUUUCCACUACUUUUUCUUUUCUCUUUUCUAUGGAUCUCAAGAAGAAACACAAACUCGAAGAAAACAGCACCAGAAGCUGGUAUUAUUGGUCAUCUCCGCCUCUUAGGAGGAUCACAACCACCUCACAUAAGCUUGGCUAACAUGGCUGACAAAUAUGGAAGAAUCUUCAGUAUCAAGUUGGGUGUGCAUAGAGCUUUGGUGGUGAGCAAUUGGGAGAUUGCUAAAGAAUGUCUCACCAUAAAUGAUAAAGCAUUCGCCUCUCGUCCAAUGCUUGCAUGCUCGGAAAUUAUGGGUUACAACGGUGCCAUGAUUGGCUUUGCGCCAUAUGGACCUUAUUGGCGUCAAGUGCGUAAGAUUGUCAUUAUUGAGCUCCUCUCAAAUCACCGACUUGAAUUGCUUAAACCUCUGAGGGAAUCCGAGAUAAAGACAUCUCUGCAACAGUUAUACCAGCUGUGGAACAAGAAGAAAAGUACUAACUCCGAUAAAGUAUUGGUGGAGAUGAAGGGAUGGUUCAAAGAAGUUACUCUGAAUGUUAUUAUGAGGAUGAUUGUAGGGAAGCGACUUCCAAAUUCCAGUGAAGGAGGUGAAAACUUGAAAAGGAAGAAAUAUUUGGAUGACUUCUUUGAACUGAGUGGAAAGUUCCUAAUAUCAGAUGCGUUGCCGUUUUUAAGAUGGUUGGACAUAGGUGGAGACAUGAAGUGCAUGAAGAAGACAGCGAAAGAAUUGGACCAAGUUGUGCAGGGAUGGCUACGAGAGCACAAGCAGAAGAGAGCUGAAAAUAAGGCAAAUAGUGAGGAAGAUUUCAUGGGAGUGAUGCUGUCUAUUCUCAGUGAUGCGGAGGAACUCCAUGUUGAUACAAUCAAUAAAGCCAUCAGUCUCGUACGUGCAUCUCUCUUAACCAAACUGAUUGCCAUUAAUAUCAUACAGAAGUUGGAAAUGCUAUUAAUUCAUUGUUGAUUGCCAUUAAUAACAUACAGAAGUUGGAAAUGCUAUUAAUUCAUUGAUUGCCAUUAACAACGUCAGUUACUCUGACAUGGGCUUUGUCUUGUUACUCAAUAAUCGUGACACAUUAAGUAAGGUCCAACAAGAACUAGAUGUUAAGGUUGGUAAGGAUAGGUUGGUAGUGACGGAAUCAGACACCAAAAGCUUAGUGUACCUUCAAUCCAUUAUUAAGGAAACGCUACGCUUAUACCCUGCUCUUCCACUAUCCCUGAUCCAUGAAGCCAUUGAAGACUGCACAGUUAAUGGAUAUCAUGUUUCAGCUGGCACUUGGCUUAUUAUAAAUCUUCAUAAGAUUCAUCGUGAUCCACUUAUAUGGGCAAAUCCCUCUAAAUUUCAACCUGAAAGAUUUAUGACCACACAUAAAGAUGUUGAUGUGAGGGGACAAAAUUUUGAACUGAUUCCAUUUGGAAGUGGUAGAAGAAUGUGUCCCGGACUUUCAUUUGCACUUCAGAAUUUGUCACUUAUACUAGCUAAUGUGUUACAUUGGUUUGAGUUUGAGACCUCGUUCGAUGAAGCCGUUGAUAUGCGUGAAGCACCUGGCCUGACGAGUUCUAAAGCAACUCCAUUAGAAGUUCAUAUAACUCCUCGUAAUCCUACUUAUGUUUAGCAAUUAUUAUAAGAAUUAACUUUUUAGUAUUAUUACUAUUUAUAUCUUUUUUGUGGAUAUCAAAAUUGUUAGUAUAUUGCUUAUUUAUCGAACAAUUAUUAUAUACACGAUCAAAAAUAAAUAUUUGGGCUACUUGGUGCUGUUGGUGCAAUUGAUUUUACUGAUUUAAUAUUUUUAUUUUAUUUUUUAUUUUUGAAUAAAUAAUUUUAUUCAAAACAUGCAUCUCAGUAGUUGUGUUGAAAGAAUAUCAACGUACUAAAGCAUAUGAGAACGAUGGUCAAUUGGAACCUUACCCCUGUAUUGGUGGAUAUCAACGUACUACUAAAGAAUUAAGUUGGAGGUGUUUACUGGGCACUUCUAACAAAAUUUGAGAGAGUUCAUUUCAUAAACAUAUAGUUUUAACUAAAUGAUAAAUUUAGAGUUGUUAUGCCUCUACCACUUCUCAAUUUACUCCUCACGAAAGCUCCACUUAUUAUUCGAACAUAUCUUUCGGGAACACUUCUCUACUUAACAGUUAUAUUAGUUUAUGUGAGCCUCACUUAUUAAUUGUCACUAUUCAUCUUUACUACCGUAUUUCAUCUCAAGUGAUUAAAAGCACUAUCAAUCCCCAUUCUACCUACACAUAUGGUGAUAGACAAUAUGGCCCCUUUUCUUGACUUGUUAAUAGAGACGUGACACGUGUAUCUCAAAAUUGUAGCUAAGGGUUUAAAAUACCUCAAAAUUGACUAGAAAAUGGCGCUCUCUCUCUCUUCCCCCCUCUCCCUCCCUCUCUCUCUUAAUAUACAUCAUCUACAUAAAUAGAACAUAAAAUUCAACGGUUGACUUAUUAAGAUAUUAAUUGUAUAAAAAAAUUAUAAAAAGUAUAAUAUCACUAUAAUUUUUGAUAAAUUAUAAAUAGCACGAGUCAAACCAAAAUCUCACAUAAGACAUUAAACACCCUUAACCAUCAAACCAAUACAUAAAGUUUAAUAUCAUUAUAAUUUUAUACUAAUAUAAGUGUAUCAUUUCCCUAUAUUUAAUGAUGAUAAUAAUAGACAAGAAUAUUAAUUUCGUGGAAAACAAUAAGUGAACGAAUUUCCUUUUUCAUCUUCAUUUUUUAUUUGGAAAUAAAAAUGUGUUCCACGAAGAUUACCAGGCUGGUUUUGUUAAUGUAGAAAAUAACGUUCUGUUUGUUUUACGAAAAAUGUAUUCAAAGUUUGAUUCAUGGAAAAUAGUUUGAUCAAUGGAAAAUGACUUAUAAGUCAACUGAAAAUAAGUCAUUUUUCUUGUAAAAUGACUUAGCGUAAAUCAUUUUUUCGGAGAAGAACUCAUUUAUAGGUAAUUUUACUUUCAUAUAAAAAAUAACUUUUAGUCAAGCUUAAUAUUAUUAUAUUAAUAAUAAAUUUUAUUUUUAUUUUUAAAAAUAUUUAAAAUAAAUAAAAUAUUAAUAUAACAUAUUAUAAUUUUUAAUAUUAUUAAACAUACAUAUUUAAUUAUCUCUAUCUAAUCAUAUAAUAAAUUAUUAUUUAAUAAAUUAAUUUUAUUUUAAUAAUAAAUUUUGAAAAUAAUAAUUUUAAAUAAUUUCAUAUAUUAUUGAAAAAAUUCAAUAUUAAUAUUUUGAUAACAAAUAUUUAUUACAAUUAUAAAUAUAUUAAUAAUAAAUGUUUUGUAGUAUAAAGUUUAAAAUAUGUCAUAAGUCUAUGUACUCUUUACAAAUUCAGAAUUAUAAAGUUUAAAUAUUUAGCCCAUCUACUCUUCAGAUUUGAAAAUCAAGUCCAAUUGUUAACAUUGCUUAAUUUUUUUUGUUAAUUUUGUCGAUUUUAAAUUUUCAAACAAAAAAUAUUCACUUGAUAGUCAUUUAACUAAAAAAUGAGGUUAUAAUUAACCUGAAUUUAAUAGAAUAUUUUUAGUAGUAGUAACUGUUGAGCCUGAAUUUAAUAUCUAAAAAGUAAAACUAAAUUUUCAAAAAUAAAAGUAAAUGGGCUAAAUAAUAUAAUUUUAUAAUAUGAUUCCACAAAUCUAUUAUUUAUGUUAUUUUAGAUAUUUAGUUAGCGAGAGAUGGUAGUGGAUCGUCAAGGAAAAGUGGUUUGCAAUAUUUGUCUUUGGGUUAAUUUAAUUAAUUGUCCCUAGAGUAUUAAUUAGACUUCAAAUUAGUUCCUAAAUUUUAAAAUAUUUUAUUUAAAUUCUUAAAAUAUUGGUAUCGAACAAAUCAUAUCAUUACCUCAACUUAACCGCUAAUUUAGAUGUUGAAUAAUAGUUUGAAUUUGACAUAGAGCAUAUUCAAAUUACGAGCAACAAAUUAUAAACACAUGUAAACUUAUCACAUAAACAUGUUGGAUAUGAAAAAUAAACGGUAUAAAAGAAUUUAGAAGUGUAAUUUUUUUAAGUUGUUAUUGUUUGUAUUCUAGCUUAAUAAUUGAGUAAUAUUAUAUAUUUAAUUUGAUGUAUUUAUUUAUAAAUAAAUUAUUGUAAUAUAUGAAAAAAAACAUAAAAUAUAUAUUUAUAGAUAUAAAAUAAAUUCAAUUAAAUAAUGAAAAUAUAAAAGAAUCUUAAAUGUAUUAAUUGAAAACAAUUUUUAUGAAAUAUUUUCAGGAAAAUUACUAAAUAAUCGAAAAUAUUUAUACUGAUUUAUUUGAACACCAUAAAAAAUUAAAUUUUUUAUAAAAAUAAAUCAUUUUUCAAAAAUCUUUUUUUUUUGGAAAUCAUUUUCAAGAAAAUAAAUGGAGCCCAAGAUUGGAAUUAGUAUAACCUGUCGUCUUUCUUCACAUCGCAGUACUUCGUUGAUUUUCUUAUAUGGCUUAAAAAUUCCAAUAUCAGUAACGUAUGUUAGUGAAAGAUCAAUAUACGAUAAUUACGUCAACAACACAACAAUGCAUAUAUAUGCAUUGUCUGUAUCUUAGAUUGAAAGUAGAAAUUUGGCGAUGGAUUAUUCCCAUUCACUCACAGCAACUUCAGCUGUUGCAAUCAUUGCUUUUCCACUACUAUUUCUUUUCUCUUUUCUAUGGAUCUCAAGAAGAAACACAAACUCGAAGAAAACAGCACCAGAAGCUGGUGGAGCAUGGCCUAUUAUUGGUCAUCUCCGCCUCUUAGGAGGAUCACAACCACCUCACAUAAGCUUGGCUAACAUGGCUGACAAAUAUGGAGGAAUCUUCAGUAUCAAGUUGGGUGUGCAUAGAGCUUUGGUGGUGAGCGAUUGGGAGAUUGCAAAAGAAUGUCUCACCGUAAAUGAUAAAGAGUUUGCCUCUCGUCCAA